UGGGGAAUAUUGCACAAUGGGCGAAAGCCUGAUGCAGCGACGCCGCGUGAGGGAUGACGGCCUUCGGGUUGUAAACCUCUUUCAGCAGGGACGAAGCGCAAGUGACGGUACCUGCAGAAGAAGCACCGGCUAACUACGUGCCAGCAGCCGCGGUAAUACGUAGGGUGCAAGCGUUGUCCGGAAUUACUGGGCGUAAAGAGUUUGUAGGCGGUUUGUCGCGUCGUUUGUGAAAACCAGCAGCUCAACUGCUGGCUUGCAGGCGAUACGGGCAGACUUGAGUACUGCAGGGGAGACUGGAAUUCCUGGUGUAGCGGUGAAAUGCGCAGAUAUCAGGAGGAACACCGGUGGCGAAGGCGGGUCUCUGGGCAGUAACUGACGCUGAGGAACGAAAGCGUGGGUAGCGAACAGG
rnacentral:rRNA from 1 species